GCAAAAGCAAAAGGAAGCUUCAGACGUCAUUGUAAGCUUCCUAAUAGUCUUCCAAAACAAUUUCCUAAUCAUCUCCUCAAAUCCCGUGACUAUUCCUUUCCUUCAACAUCUCUCCUUUUUCACCUUCCUGUGUAUAUAAUCUCUAAUGACCAAUUGGGCACUACGCCGUGGGGAGGAGCAGUGGAGCACAUCAUGCAUGGAUGCCCAUGCUGCUCACCAACCGCCGUGGUCGCCGCUGCACGGAAUACCACCAUGAGCACGGCCUCCUCAGCUGCUCCGACUCUCCGUAGUACUGCUCCUCCAGCUACCGGCCCUUCCCCUUCUAUUUUGAAUUUUCUAGAACAAUGGGUAAGCAGCUACCAACUAUGAAUGGAAUAAGUCUAAAAAGAAGCUUGGGUAUGCUGAUAUGUGCCUUCAGGUUAUAAGAUAAGGGAGCAAGUGAAACAACCCAGAAGCUUAUGAUAUUGUUACUGUGGAGAUACCCGGAAGCUUGCAUAUCCAGAAUCGAUCUUCACUUCAGCUACAAGUGAGGUAUAUUGAGCCUAUUGAUGCAUAGUUACAUAAAGAUAGAAGAAUUGGUUGCACUUUGUCAUUAUUACUUGUUUCUACAAGUAGCUCUCUACAUCUGGUUCCUGUAACGAGUAGUCUAUCUAUGGUUUGUUGGACAUGAUUAUUUACUUUGUUUACUUUUGAGAUCUACAUCUUAAAGAAAAAUCUCUGAAAUAUUCAUUAUACAAGGAGUUACAAACUUACAAUACUAUCAUGUUGUACUAAUACACAAGUAUUUUCUCAUGUUAACGGGAUUUCCCAGUAUAUGAUCCUUCCACAAAAAAAAUUGAUGCUUCUGCUUCUUUUCUUUCUGUACCACCGUCGAGAUUGCUGAUAUACAGAGGUAUUGCUGCCGAGCGUGACACCGCGCCGAUCUAUUUGAGCCCAACUGCAUCAAUUUUAGACGGAAGAUAAUGAUGCAAGGAGACCACCUGAGCACCUCCACUCCCUCAACACUGUCCCCCUACUGCCUGAGUUUACUGAAUAUUUUUUCUUGCUUCAACUAUAUCAAGGGAGCAAGUGCAACAACCCAGAAGCUUAUGAUAUUGCUACUGUGGAGAUACCCGGAAGCUUGCAUUGAUCCAGAAUCGAUCUUCACUUCAGCUACAAGUGAGAUGCAUUUCACUACGUGGCUAUGUGCACAUAAAUCAGUCAAGGAGCAGGCUUCAGUGAAGUGUGAUCCAGUACAUUUGUGAACAUUGUGCAGUUCUUGCUGAAUUCUGGACUUGACUGAACGGGUUCCCCCUAUUCCAAAUUUCUUUUUAAGUAUUUGGCAGUUAUCUUCAGCGUCCAAAUGGAAGUACUCCCUCCGUCCCAUAAUAUAAUAUCUUAUUGCACUCAUUUUGCUCAAAAAUUGGAUGUAAUACGAUCUUAUAUUAUGGGACGGAGGGAGUACAAUUGAUUCAUAUUAUGUGUAUCUUUGUACUCACCAUUGCUGGAUGAAAAUUUGGACAUACAUAGAUAGCUCUAGAUGUAGCCUAAAUGCUUUUUUACUCCUCAUAUAAUCACUGUUGUGAAUCCUUGUGCCUUUGCAACACCUCAUGUCCUAUAGGAAUGAUGUUCUAACCUAUCUGUGUAAAUUUAAAUUUUAAAUAUUGCAAAUAAAUUAGAAGAUAGACAUGCUUCCAUCCAUGCAGCAAGGCCAACAACAUGCAAGAGCACUGCCUUUUUAUUUAGCAUGCCAGUAAUAUUAUAGCUCUGGGGAUAAUAUUCUUGCACACUUUAGAUGCCAUUUGAUAGAUUGGGAGGACAGGUAAAUUUACAUAUGACAGCAGAGUUCUCUUCACCAAGUAUAUGUCAAUACAUGUCUCAAUGGCAUGGCUUUGGGAUCGAGAUCUACCUUGCUAACGUUACAGAUCAAUUGUCAAUAGCUUGUUGAAAAUCUCCCCUUGUUUGUAAUGUAAGGAUCUUAUGUAAUCUUAAGGUUUGCAGCUAAUAGAGAAACCCAAUCCAAGUAAAAGUUUUCAACCCAAUCCAAGUAAAAGUUUUCAGUAUUGCUUAAUUGUGUGAGUGAUUAACACUUUUUGGUUGUGCUGAAUUUCACUCCUACAUAGUUUUAUUGACAAUUUUUAUAUUCCUUUCAUUCAAAUGAGGCACAAGAUAGAUCACAUCUAUCGCAACGUAUUGGAGAUCCAUGCCCCUUGGUGUUCAAGAAAACCAUACUCACCAGAUAUUGCCACAAGGUUACUGGCAAAGCAGUACCAAUCUUGAUGAUUUGUGUAGGCAGGCCACCCAUAUGCUUGAGGAGGAAAUAUUAACGGUGUUGUAUCUCAGGUGGCAUGACUUUUUUUGUAAAGGGCAGAGUGGGUUUCUUUUUUCCCCAAUGAGCAUGUUGAUCCUUGUGGACAAC